rnacentral:snoRNA from 4 species
CUACGGGGAUGAUCUCAAAAGUUGAACUCUCUCUUUCUGAUGAAUUAGUGGAGAAAACAUAAAAAUUCUGAGUAGC